rfam:Isosphaera pallida ATCC 43644, complete genome.
GGUCAAGCUCCGUAAGGGCGUGGGGGGGAUGCCUAGGCGUCAUCUGGCAAGCGGGCGUUGCAGGCUGCGAUAUGCUCGGGGAAGUGGCCAACCACGCAUUGAUCCCGAGAUCCCCGCUGGAACCCAGGGAACUGAAACAUCUCAGUACCUGGAGGAAAAGAAAUCAACCGAGACUCCCUCAGUAGCGGCGAGCGAACGGGGACCAGCCUAAACCGUCGGGCACACCCGACGGGGUUGCGGGACCGACAUUACGAGACCUUUGCUUCUAGCCGAAACCGCCUGGAAAGGCGUGCCAAAGCGGGUGACAGCCCCGUAGGCGACCGAAGUGAUGGCUCAGUCGGCACCCAAGUAGGGUCGGGCACGUGAAACCCGGCCUGAAUCUGGGGGGACCUUCCUCCAAGGCUCAGUACACGAUGACGACCGAUAGCGAACCCAGUAGGGCGACCGAACGGUGGGAAGAACCCCGAUGAGGGGAGGACACUGAACCUGAAACCCCAUGCCUACAAGCGGUGGAAGGGCGUUGACGCCUAACCGCGUGCCUUUUGCAUAAUGAUCCGGCGAGUUAUGGUGCCCGGCCACCAGGUUAACCGCCUCAGGCGGGGAGCCGAAGGGAAACCAAGUCCUAAAAGGGCGACCAGUCGGACGCCAUAGACGCGAAACCAGGUGAUCUACCCAUGGGCAGGUUGAAGCGACCCUAACCGGUCGUGGAGGACCGAACCCACCAGUGUUGAAAAACUGGGGGAGGACCUGUGGGGAGGAGUGAAAGUCUUAUCAAACCUGGAGAUAGCUCGUUCUCUCCGAAAUGGCUUGAGGGCCAGCCUCGGGACCUAGCUCAGGGGUGUAGAGCGACGGAAUUCGUUUGGGGGGCUCCCCGCCUACCCGGCGAAACCCAACUCCGAAGACCCUGAACCGAAUCCCGGGAGUCAGAGCGUGGGGGAGAAGCUUCACGCUCGAGAGGGCAACAACCCAGACCGCCGACCAAGGCCCCCAAACGACGCUCAGUGGCAAAGGAAGUGGGAUCGCGGUGACAGCCGGGAUGUUGGCUUAGAAGCAGCCACCAUUUCAACAGUGCGUAAUAGCUGACCGGCCGAGCCAUCCCGCGCCGAAAAUGACGGGGACUCAAGCGUCGUGCCGCAGUCGCGGAUUCGUCAAGAAUGGUAGGAGAGCGUUGCACACCGCGUCGAAGCGGGACGGGAACGACCCGUGGAGCGUGUGCAAGUGCGUAUGCCGGAACGAGUAACGACAAGGGGGGUGGGAAGCCCCCCCGCCGAAAGCACAAGGGUUCCUGGGGAAGGUCAAUCCGCCCAGGGUCAGCCGGGACCUAAGAAUGCCUCCGACCGGAGGGUUCGAUGGACAGGGGGCCAACAUUCCUCCGCCCGGCGGGAAGGACGAUUCGGAGAGGACGCCGCGUCAGGGAACGGCGGGGUGCUGGAAACCCCCGCGCCGCAAGGCCGACGGCUGGACCGGAAGCGAACCCCCAAGCGGCCACGAAAAGCCCUCCGAGGACAACCCGUCGGCCCGUACCGCAAUCCGACACAGGUGUGCCUGGCGAGUAUCCUCAGGCGUUCGGGAGAACCCUCGUGAAGGAACUCGGCAAAAUGACCCCGUACCCUCGGUACAAGGGGUGCUCCCGGCCACGGGAGCCGCAGAGAAUCGGCUCUGGCGACUGUUUAUCAAAAACACAGGACUCUGCUAACUCGUAAGAGGAUGUAUAGAGUCUGACGCCUGCUCGGUGUCGGUAGGUUAAGGAAGCCAGUUAGCGCAAGCAAAGCCGGCGACCGAAGCCCCGAUAAACGGCGGCCGUAACUAUGACGGUCCUAAGGUAGCGAAGUUCCUUGUCGGGUAAGUUCCGACCUGCAUGAAUGGCGUAACGACCGGAGCACUGUCUCCACGAGGGACCCGGUGAAACUGUAGCCGUGGUGAAGAUGCCACGUUCCCGCGGUCAGACGGAAAGACCCCGUGAACCUUGACUGCAGGUUGGCGCUGGGCCUGGGUUCGUUUUGUGUAGGAUAGGUGGGAGGCUGUGAAUCCGCUCCGUCAGGAGUGGAGGAGCCGUCGGUGAAAUACCACCCUGAACGCACUUUGGUCCUCACCGGCAUCAGCCGGGACCACGCUCAUCGGGCAGUUUGACUGGGGCGGUCUCCUCCUAAAGAGUAACGGAGGAGCGCAAUGGUACCCUCAGCCCGGUCGGCAAUCGGGCAACACGAGCGCAAGAGUAGAAGGGUGCCUGACUGUGAGAGGGCUGCCUCGAACAGAGACGAAAGUCGGCUCUAGUGAUCCGGCGGUUCCGUAAGGAAGGGCCGUCGCUCAACAGAUAAAAGGUACUCCGGGGAUAACAGGCUAAUCUCCUCCGAGCGUCCAUAGCGGCGAGGAGGUUUGGCACCUCGAUGUCGGCUCAUCGCAUCCUGGGGCUGGAGAAGGUCCCAAGGGUUUGGCUGUUCGCCAAUGAAAGCGGUACGCGAGCUGGGUUCAGACCGUCGUGAGACAGGUCGGUCCCUAUCUGCCGUGGGCGUGGGAAGCUUGAGGAGGGUCUCCCCUAGUACGAGAGGAUUGGGGAGGACCGACCUCUGGUGUGCCGGCUGUCCCGCCCGGGGCAUCGCCGGGUAGCCAGGUCGGGAUCGGAUAAGCGCUGAAAGCAUCUAAGCGCGAAGCCAUCUCCAAGAUGAGGCUUCCAGUCGUAAGACGAAGGCUCCUGGAAGACGACCAGGUCGAUAGGCGGGAUGUGCAAGGCGAGUGAUCGUCUCAGCCGACCCGUCCUAACAGCCAACGGCUUGACCAC